rnacentral:rRNA from 1 species
CCCUUAGAUGUUCUGGGCCGCACGCGCGCUACACUGAUGCAUUCAACGAGUCUAAAACCUGGUCUGAGAGGGCCGGGUAAUCUUUUGAAAGUGCAUCGUGAUUGGGAUAGAUGAUUGCAAUUCUUCAUCUUCAACGAGGAAUGCCUAGUAAACGCAAGUCAUCAGCUUGCAUUGAUUACGUCCCUGCCCUUUGUACACACCGCCCGUCGCUCCUACCGAUUGAACGAUCCGAUGAAAACUGUGGAUUGAGAGUCUGAGUGGGUUCGCCUACCUCAACUUUCGAGAAGCGGUUUAAAUCUUAUCGUUUAGAGGAAGGAGAAGUCGUAACA